rnacentral:sRNA from 1 species
CUAUUACGAUUCGCUGUAGUCAUGCUUUCGAAAAGAGUAUAAAAUGGAAGGGCCAAGCCCAAGUGAUAUCUUCGUUUUAACGGAAGCUAAAAUCAACAUGAAACUGAUACUUCUCUCUGCUGUGCUAGCUAUCUUAGCGUCGGGCUGCUAUGCUUCUACUGAUAGCAUUUACGAUCUAAUGAAGACACAAACACCACUACCGGUAUCAUAUACGAUCUAUUGAAGACAGAAACACCACUACCGCUACCACUAAAACCACAAUAGUAACAGCUAUAAUUGGUUUUAGAUAUAUAACGCAUAUUCAAAUAUACAAUUCAUAAUCGGCAAAUAAAUUGAGCUUGUCCAAUUUAAGUCUACAAAUUGGUUUUGAACUAAACCAGCUUGA